rnacentral:rRNA from 1 species
GGGUGCGAUCAUACCAGCACUAAUGCACCGGAUCGCAUUAGAACUCCGCAGUUAAGCGUGCUUGGGUGAGAGUAGUACUAUGUGAGGGUGACAUCCCUUGGAAGUCUUCCUGUCGCUCCCC